rnacentral:lncRNA from 1 species
UUGGGCCCAACUUUUUGCGAUGUGGUGAGAGAAAUGGGUACGAAUUCUCAAAAUUUCAUCCGAACACGAAUCCGAAUAAAAUGGAUUUACUUGAUGCUAAAUGAAUAUAGAUUUUAGAUACAAAUAUAAAAAUAAAAAAUCGACGGAUUUGAAUUUGAGUAUGAAUUUUAUCUAUCUCCAAUCCGAACAUGAAUUGAUUUUGCAUUGUAUAUUAUAUAUGAGUGUUUGAUAUUAUAUAUGAAUUUAUAUUUUAAAAUUUUAGAUUUAAUGUAGUAUGUUUUGAAAUAUAGUAACGGCAAAUAAUUAUUUUAGGUUCGGGUUUUCUGGUUCGCGGGUUUGGGUUUUGAGUUUUUAAUCCCGUUCGGAUUUAGAUAUGGAUUUUUUUAAACAAAUCAGCUGUAUUUAAGUCCGAAAUCGGGUUUUGAGUUUGGUAAUCGAAUUCAGAUUCAAAUUUUUAAAAAUCCGUCCUGCAUCCAACCCAUUAACAUUUGUAACAAAAGCUGAGCUAAAGAGGCACUAAGAAGUAAGAACCAGCUUGAUAUUGAGAAUCAUCUAACACAACAUUUUUGUAUUUUCAAUAGAACCGUAAAAUAUAUAUCGUUAUCGAGUUGUUAGGUCUAAUUUGGAAUUGUGAGAAGAGUAUAUUAUAUGUGGUAAACGAGUGUAAUGUAAAAAAAAAAUGUUCAUUU